GGAAUUGUUCGCAAUGGGCGCAAGCCUGACGACGCAAUGCCGCGUGGAGGAUGAAGGUCUUCGGAUUGUAAACUCCUGUUGCUCGGGAAGAAAGGCCCCGACCUAAUACGUCGGCGUGUGACGGUACCGGGUGAGGAAGCCCCGGCUAACUCUGUGCCAGCAGCCGCGGUAAUACAGAGGGGGCAAGCGUUGUUCGGAAUUACUGGGCGUAAAGGGCGCGUAGGCGGCCUGUUAAGUCACACGUGAAAUCCCUCGGCUCAACCGGGGAACUGCGUGUGAUACUGGCGGGCUCGAAUUCGGGAGAGGGAUGUGGAAUUCCAGGUGUAGCGGUGAAAUGCGUAGAUAUCUGGAGGAACACCGGUGGCGAAGGCGGCAUCCUGGACCGAGAUUGACGCUGAGGCGCGAAAGCUAGGGUAGCAAA
rnacentral:rRNA from 1 species